CCUAUAAGACUGGGAUAACUUCGGGAAACCGGAGCUAAUACCGGAUAACAUUUAGAACCGCAUGGUUCUAAAGUGAAAGAUGGUUUUGCUAUCACUUAUAGAUGGACCCGCGCCGUAUUAGCUAGUUGGUAAGGUAACGGCUUACCAAGGCGACGAUACGUAGCCGACCUGAGAGGGUGAUCGGCCACACUGGAACUGAGACACGGUCCAGACUCCUACGGGAGGCAGCAGUAGGGAAUCUUCCGCAAUGGGCGAAAGCCUGACGGAGCAACGCCGCGUGAGUGAUGAAGGGUUUCGGCUCGUAAAACUCUGUUAUUAGGGAAGAACAAAUGUGUAAGUAACUGUGCACAUCUUGACGGUACCUAAUCAGAAAGCCACGGCUAACUACGUGCCAGCAGCCGCGGUAAUACGUAGGUGGCAAGCGUUAUCCGGAAUUAUUGGGCGUAAAGCGCGCGUAGGCGGUUUCUUAAGUCUGAUGUGAAAGCCCACGGCUCAACCGUGGAGGGUCAUUGGAAACUGGGAAACUUGAGUGCAGAAGAGGAAAGUGGAAUUCCAUGUGUAGCGGUGAAAUGCGCAGAGAUAUGGAGGAACACCAGUGGCGAAGGCGACUUUCUGGUCUGUAACUGACGCUGAUGUGCGAAAGCGUGGGGAUCAAACAGGAUUAGAUACCCUGGUAGUCCACGCCGUAAACGAUGAGUGCUAAGUGUUAGGGGGUUUCCGCCCCUUAGUGCUGCAGCUAACGCAUUAAGCACUCCGCCUGGGGAGUACGACCGCAAGGUUGAAACUCAA
rnacentral:rRNA from 1 species